UACAGAGGUCCCAAGCGUUGUUCGGAUUCACUGGGCGUAAAGGGUGCGUAGGUGGUGGGGUAAGUCGGAUGUGAAAUCUCCGGGCUCAACCCGGAAAUGGCAUUGGAAACUACCUUGCUGGAGGAUUCGAGGGGGGAUUGGAAUACUUGGUGUAGCAGUGAAAUGCGUAGAUAUCAAGUGGAACACCAGUGGCGAAGGCGAAUCCCUGGAAAAUACCUGACACUGAGGCACGAAAGCUAGGGGAGCAAACAGG
rnacentral:rRNA from 1 species